CUGUGGAGUUCCUAACAGAACUGGCUUGCUGAUCCUGAAAGCACCAAAAAAUGCUAUCAAGAAUGCCUCCCGGAACAAGGCCACCUCCUGUUCACUAUAACAUAUGGCACCAAGGAUCUGCACGAGAUCCCCGAGCAUGUAAACUGUGAUGGGAUGACAGGAAUCCUUCCUGGGGCCACUGGUACGCGACCACCCUGCCAAAAACCUUCGAACUAAAAAAACACUGCAAGGAUCCAGAUAACCAUUUAGCCUACUGACGAAUGUAAUGGCAGAAAGGUGAUACGAGAUUGUGGAAGAUGCCAGUUGACAGGUUGCCUGUGACAGCAUGUACCGCACCACCUGUUCCUCUGUAAUGAGCCAUAUUGUUGACCAGCCUUCCUGAUCCUGAAAUUGUAUGAAAUCAUUAAAACUUCUUUCAUAGCUCUGCCACGUGUGUGGAGCAACUGAUCUCCGGACCACACUGACAACCAUCUUAUGCCAGGGUUCCAUAGCACCAGCGUCAUCUGCCUGGGUUCCCGGCUGGCUCCUGGUGCCAGCUCCAGAAGUCUGUGGAGCUGAAAAUGAGAUAAGGUGUCUGCUACGCCAUUAUCAACCACAGAGAAGUUGUGAAGUAACGUAUAUUCCCUGGAGCCUUCUCAGGGCCAAGCCUCAGUUCUUUUUCUACACCGAGUCAAGUGAGACAUUUAUGCUAAGAGCAAAGCUACAACAGAGGAAGCCACAUUAGAUGGAUAACUGCCCCAUGGGUUACUCACCUUCUCACAAGCAAGCUCUAUAAAGGAGAAAAUUAUGAUGUGGUCUCCCCCACCAGAAGCAAA